rnacentral:rRNA from 1 species
GAUGAACGCUGGCGGCGUGCCUUAUGCAUGCAAGUCGAACGGUCCAGCUUGCUGGACAGUGGCGAACGGGUGAGUAACACGUAGGUACCUGGCUUUGGGUGGGGAAUAGCCACGAGAAAUCGUGGGUAAUACCGCAUGAUGCUACUUGAGUAAUAUUAAGUAAUGAAAGCCUCGCAAGAGGCGCCUGUUGGGGGGCCUGCGUCCGAUUAGCUAGUUGGCAGGGUAAAAGCCUACCAAGGCGAAGAUCGGUAGCUGGUCUGAGAGGAUGAUCAGCCACACUGGGACUGAGAAACGGCCCAGACUCCUACGGGAGGCUG